GGCAACAUGGCCGAGUGGUUAAGGCGAAAGACUCGAAAUCUUUUGGGUUCGCCCGCGUCAGUUCGAAUCUGGCUGUUGUCG